rnacentral:lncRNA from 10 species
CUCUCAGACACCACAGUCCAGGAGAGUCUGACAAGGUGGCUUUAUUCCUGAAACUCAGGGACCUGAUCCAACGCGCUGGAAAUUGUGUUUCUUUUCCCAGCUCAGGCUAUUCACCUCAGGCCCCUGUUUUCCUGUCUCCUCCCCAGGAAGGUUGUGAUAAAAAUCAAUGACAUCAUGUCUCACUGGGCCCCAGCCACCCUUCAGGAAGCAGGUGCUUUGGCUGAGUGGAGGCUGGGGCAUUUUUCUGCUGCGCUGGCCUGCAUCUGCCUUUCGAGUAGCCCUAGAGGCCUAACGCUUGAGGUCACCUUCAUGGUUUUUCCAGUGACCUUGGCCAUUAAUGAGCUCCCACCGCUUCCCCAGCUGCAGCUGUAUUAUAGCGCCAGAGUCUUCCAAGCCUGCAGGUUGUGCCAAGCCUGGAGGGAUUUGCAAAAGAAACAUUUGCCUACACCAAGAUCAUGAAGAUGUUUUCUUCUAGAGGAUUUCUAGUUUUAGCUCUUUAUGUUUAAAUUGAGGGAAACUAAAUGUAUGGCCUUAAGGAGCUGUUCCAGCCUGAGACUAUACACCAGCAGAAAGAAACUCACAGCACUGAAAAUAUUGUUCUCCGCCCUCCCUCAUCCCUCUUCCUUCUGAAUGGGAAAAAAGAGUAAGAAGCUUUUCCCUCCAGCUGAAAGCAAAGGAGUACUCUAGCCCUCUGUGAUAGCUGAUGGCAGCAUCUUUGGUAAGCAAAUGGAUCGUCUCUGCCAAGAAGGAAGAAAAAAAGAAGCAUUAAUUGGGCACCUUCUACUUGCCAGGCUCCAUUCUAGAGAAUUUACCUAAAUCAUCUCAUUGAAUUCACAUGACUAGAUAAUGUAAAGAGUGGUCACCUCCCCAUUUCACAGAUCAGGAAACUGAGGCUCCGACUAGAAAGAUGAAGCAACUUGCCUAGCUAGUGAUUCCAAUCUGGGUUUUGCUGAUUCUUUGCUUAACCUUCCUGAAAUGCCCCUUUUCUUCUCCUCAAGGUGGCUCUCCCAGAGAGGCUGCUCUCUUUGCUGGAAUUUGCCUUGUUCUCUCCUCACUGCUGAAGCACUGUCACUGCGUCCUAAAAAAACACCACAGUAUCCGUAAGACGUUGCCUGUCAUUGGAGGUUUGCUCCUUCUCUCUAUCUCAGACAGGAUUCAAUGAAGAAAACAGAAGCCACUCAGCGCAAGAACAGACUCAUACAGGAUCACUGCAUGUGGAAUCAGGUAAGACAAGGUCAUACUGGAGUAGGAAAGGGGUUAAUCCAAUAUGACUGGUGUCCUUAAAAAAUGGGAAAUUCAUCGAGGGCAGAUUGGAUAAAGGAAAUGUUGUACAUAUACACUAUGGAAUACUUCACAGCUAUAAAAAAGGAGAAGAUUAUGUCCUUUGCAGGUACAGGAAUGGAGCUAGAGGUCAUCAUCCUUAGCAAACUAAUGCAGGAACAGAAAACCAAAUGCCACAUGUUCUCACUUAUAAGUUGAAGGUAAAUAAUGAGAACACGUGGACACAUAGAGGGGAAUAGCACACACUGGGGCCUACUUGAGGGUAGAAGGUGGGAGGAAGGAGAGGAUCAGAAAAAACGAUUGGUUACUAGGCUUACUACCUGGUUGAUGAAAUAAUCUGUACAGCAAACCCCAGUAUCAAGAGUUUACCUAUAUAACAAAACUGCACAUGUACCCCUGAACCUAAAAUAAAAGCUUUUUAUAAAAAGAAAAGAAAAAGGGCUGGGCAUGAUGGCUCACACCUGUAAUCCCAGGACUUUAGGACACCCAGGUGGGUGGACUGCUAAGCUCAGGAGUUCAAGACCAGCCUAGGCAACAUUGCGAAACCCCGUCUCUACAAAAAUUAGCCAGGCAUGGUGGCAUGUACCUGAAGUCCCAUCUACUUGCAGGGCUGAGGCCAGAGGAUCGCUUGAACCCAGGAGGUGGAGAUUGUAGUGAGUUGUAUUUGUGCCACUGCACUCCAGCCUCGUUGACAGAGCAAGGGCAAGACCUUUUCUUUAAAAAAAAAAAAAGAAAGAAAGAAAAGAAAAAGAAAAGACAAGAAAAGAAAAGAAAAGGAUAUAAUCAGCCAAAUUCAAAAUGUGUGAAAUGCUACAAGCUUCCAGGACUGUGAAACAAGACAUUUCUUUGGUUCAAGCCACUCCCUUAGUGCACAUUGUUAUGGCAGCCAUGGAAAACCAUCCACAGAGGGUCAGUUCCUAUGGAGGUGGGCCCUGGGCCCAGCUGCUGCAGGUGGCCAGGAAGGAGCCUGGGAGGAUGACGGGGUUCCUGAUCUGAUAGAACUGGGCUGUGACUAGGCAGAACCCUGUUCCACCACACACACCCCAGUGGAGGUCAGUACCCCAAAUCUGACACCAGGAUGUAGCAUGUCCAUGGAGUCUGUCUGCUGACACCUGUCCCACCCUCCCCUGGCCCGUAACUUUGAGAGAUACUGCAAUUCCUACCGAUGUUGCUGCCAUCCUUUAUUCAGCCCAUUAUCAGAAGUUAUGACACAUUGCAAAAUGCUCAGGCUAGUUGAAUUUCUGCAACAGGGCAAGGCGGUUAAAUCCUGUCCUUCCUGGAGUCUCAUUGACCAGGCUUUGAAUCCCAAUUCUACCAUGGAUUAGAUUUGCAACUUUGGCAAAUUGAUGAACUCUUCUGAGCUUUGGACUAAUAAUAGGGUUUUGUGAGGAAUACCUGAGAUAAUGCAUGUACAACACCUUGCAUGUUGUUUAGCACCUACUAGAAAUGCAACCAACUCUAGCUGUUAUCGCUAGUUUUUCUCUUGCUCCAUCUCCAUUCCUGAGAUGUGCAUGGCUACUCUGUGUUUGUUGUUGGGAAGAGCCGUAGACAGUCGUAUCCUCUUCCUGAGAAUGGUAACUGAGCUGCCCCCUUGGGACUGUCCAGGGGCUGGCCAUUAGCCCCACGAGGCAGCAACAAAACCAACAAGACAAGUCUGUUUACUCUUCUGGUCUAUAAUUUAAAAUGUGUUUGAUGCUACUUUUUUUUUUUCUUUUUAGGACGUUCUGUAUCUGUGAUGAAUGACCCCUGCAUACAUUAUAUCUUUCAGUAAAAACAGUGGUGUUUCAGUAGUGUUACUAGCUAAGCUGCUUAACUCUCACAUUACAGACGUCAGUGAAGCCCCUUGGUAGGUAGUGUCUAAAAUUAGAUUUAUCUGCUUAUUUACACAAUUAUACUCUCAUGAGUUUGAAUGUUGGGGAAAGAUCAAGAAAAAGACCAGAUCACUAGAUGGCAAUAGCACACAAGAGCUUUAUUUGGAUGAAGCUUGGACAGAAUGCAUGGAAGGGGAAAGUCCCUUGCAGCAGAAGACCUUCCAGAGGCAGUGGCAGGGCCACCACCAGAAGAAAAGGGCAAGGACACUCCCAGGGGAGAGGAGGAUCAGAGAGGAGGUUACAGGUCUAAGAGAUGUCACAGGUCUAGAAGAAAAGAAAAGGAGCCAGGUGCAGUGGCUCACACCUGUAAUCCCAGCACUUUGGGAGGCCCAGGCGGGCAGAUUGCUGAGUUCAGGAGUUUGAGACCAGCCUAGGCAAACAUGGUGAAACCCCAUCUCUAAAAAAAGAUUUAAAAAUUAACCAGGCCUGGUGGCAUGUACCUGAAGUCUCAUUUACUUGGGGGGCUAAGGCUGGAGGAUCGUUUGAACCCAAGAGGGUUCAUGGUGGGGAGCAUCAUGGUGAGGAGUCUCUGGGUCAGAGAGCUCCAAAGGACAGCAGCCAUUUGGGGUCUUUUGUAGCCCUGAGGUUCGUCUUACCUAUGGUGAGAGGGUGUCGGGUGUAGUUUUGCAAAUUAUCGAAGCAGGCAGGCUCUAAAUGGGCAAAUAAUAUUUGGCCUACAUUUAAAGCAAUUGGAUGUGCAAGAAUUUGAGUUUGGUGCUGGCAGGCUUGAGUUAACGGUCCUGGGCUGUGGUGUGGAAGUAAACAGCAUGGGGGCCAAUACACAGGGGCUGUCUUGAACUCGUUCAUACAAUCCAUUUAUAACCUGUUUAUAACUUGUUUAUAACCCAUUUAUACCACAUACCCCUAAAGCAAAUACCUAGCAGAUAGCAUGCAGGGCCUAUUUGCCUGGCCUCCUUCAAUGGCAUCACAUUCUCCACCACCACGAUGGUUAAUAUGGACGAGCCCUAGCAGCUGCCCAGUGAAGUCCACACGCUACUGCCCAAACCAGCUCAAGUCCUUAGUUGUCAUGAAAAUAAUGUGAGUUCCCACAGCCGUAAAAGGGAAAGCAGCAAGAGCCACAUGAGCAUCCCCGGAACCCUGGGAACAGUCAUCAGUGUCAUCUUCAGGGUCAUGUCCCUACAAGCAGUUCUCAGGCUCCUGCUGAGGGUCAGAACAGAGCCGAAGUCACAGGAUAUCAAAAAUGGAUAAGCCCAACCUCAGCUCGCAGAGGAAUUGCUCAGCUGACAGAUGAUUGUGUUAUCUCAGUGAAGCCAGAUGACAAUGUACUUGGCCAACGGAACAUCUUGGUCAAUGGAUCUCCAAGUUGGUUAUAAAAUUAAAGCAAAAUAAUGCCAUUAUAUGUAAGAUGUCAUUGAUUGUAAGAUGCUCCUUUAUUUGAUGUACCACUAAUAAAUAAAAACACUGACAUUUAAACAAUGACAAUUGCAUAACACAUCUGCUUGUUCAAUGUUAAAUAUGAAAAAAUGUGC